GUGUCAGCAGCCGCGGUAAUACGAGGGGGGCUAGUGUUGUUCGGAAUCACUGGGCGUAAAGGGAGCGUAGGCGGGAGCCUAAGUUGGGUGUUUAAUUCCGGGGCCCAACCCCGGGCAUGCACUCAAAACUGGGUUUCUUGAAUAGGGGAGAGGUCGGUGGAAUUGGAGGUGUAGCGGUGGAAUGCGUAGAGAUCUCCAAGAACACCCGUUGCGAAGGCGGCCGACUGGACCCAUAUUGACGCUGAGGCUCGAAAGCAUGGGGAGCAAACAGGAUUAGAUACCCUCGUAGUCC
rnacentral:rRNA from 1 species